CUGCCAACAGGGUGUCUUCGGCAACGAGGAUCCCAGCUUUCUGAUCUGGAUGAGCACUGUACUAACCAGAGGAGGCAGCGGAGUGAUGUACACUGAAAGUACUCUAAGUACAAAGGAAGACACUUCAGUGUAGCAAAGUGGGUGCCUGCCUGGACCAGCCCAGUGAUCUAAUGAUAUUGUCAUCAUAAUCCUGCCAUUGAAGAGGCCAUGGCCACAGGAAAAGCAUAAUAGUAGUGUGCCCUGUCACAGUCCUGGAGCGAGGCAUUCUAUAACAGGACAGGAGGCCAC